rnacentral:lncRNA from 1 species
CUGGUAACCUCUCUCUAUAGUAAACUCUGAUUGCAUAUUUACAAAUGCAACAACACAUGCAAAUAGCCCUAGAACUUAUGGGGUAGAAUUCAUAAACUGCAUCACAUCUAUAGUCAAUUUAAAACGGUUUUUACAUAUCAAGUAAAGGGAGUAAGCCCUGUAUUCAUCAAUUUCUAAUAAAUGCUUCUCUAAAUAUGAUAAAAUGUUCCAAAAGAAAAAUCUACCUUUACUUGAAAAUCUUCUUCUAUUUGAAAAACCAUAAAUAGAAGUAACGUUUGAUGGAGAACAAAGAGAAUCUCCGAUAAAAUGAAAACCCAGGCUUUUGUGAAGGGUCUCCCACAGGUCUGAGUGUGUGACAACACAGAUGAGAAUGGUAGUGGCACUAGACUGGCCAAUAACAAUCAGGCACAUAUAAUGUUUUGUCCAUUCUGAUUCCUGUAAAGUCUUCAUUUACUUCCAAGACAUUUCUGAAAGGAAAUGUGACGUAGGGGUGCACAGAUUCUCCUACCGAUGAAGUAAGCUUCCUUAUAAAGAGAAGAGCGUACCAUGUGCACUAUGCAAAGUACGUGAUUUCACUUGAUGUGGACAUAGUUUUAGAAAACCAUGCUUGAAACAAGGUGAACUUGGGUUAAAAUAUUAUAGAAUGCAAACCACCAAAAUUGUAAAAUGUUAGGUAGAGGAAACCUACAGCUCUCUCCAACUCUUGACUUUUCCUCUUAUACCUACUCCAUGCAGCGGCUCAGGAUCUCAGUCCAUUCUCUAUCAUCCCGCAGAAACACAUUGCUCAUUGGUACCUCAAGAAGCCAGGACGAAAGCUUUCAACAAGAUUAUUCGCUGCCUAGAAUUUAUGAAGAUCAACUGAGGGUCUCCUCCCCUCAGUACCAGGAAGGAAAGUACAAACCGUACAGCAUCUUGGGAAGCCUGGGCCACUGCCCAUCAGCACCUGGGAAGGAAGCCAGGUCACGCCAAACCAGCAUCCAGGGAAAGGAAGAAAAGGAAGAGAAGAGGGCAGGGCCAUCCACCACCAAGAAAAGUUUUGAGAGCCUUGCAGUAGCCAUCCACCUACCUCUCCCCACCACCUCCGUGCAGGGCACUGCACAACCUCACUCAGCGACAGAAAGGCACAGGUAACUGAAAAGCAAGUGCCUGCUUCCUCAAAGGUCUUCCAUUGCAGACUUGCAGAGAAAGCAAGAAUAUACAGAAU